rnacentral:rRNA from 1 species
AGUGAACGCUGGCGGUAGGCCUAACACAUGCAAGUCGAACGGCAGCACAGUAAGAGCUUGCUCUUACGGGUGGCGAGUGGCGGACGGGUGAGGAAUACAUCGGAAUCUACUUUUUCGUGGGGGAUAACGUAGGGAAACUUACGCUAUACCGCAUACGACCUACGGGUGAAAGCAGGGGAUCUUCGGACCUUGCGCGAUUGAAUGAGCCGAUGUCGGAUUAGCUAGUUGGCGGGGUAAAGGCCCACCAAGGCGACGAUCCGUAGCUGGUCUGAGAGGAUGAUCAGCCACACUGGAACUGAGACACGGUCCAGACUCCUACGGGAGGCAGCAGUGGGGAAUACUGGACAAUGGGCGCAAGCCUGAUCCAGCCAUACCGCGUGGGUGAAGAAGGCCUUCGGGUUGUAAAGCCCUUUUGUUGGGAAAGAAAAGCAGCAGGUUAAUACCCCGCUGUUCUGACGGUACCCAAAGAAUAAGCACCGGCUAACUUCGUG